rnacentral:rRNA from 1 species
UACGUAGGGGGCUAGCGUUGUCCGGAUUUAUUGGGCGUAAAGAGCGCGCAGGCGGUCUGCCAAGUCAGAUGUGAAAGAGGCCGGCUUAACCGGCAAGGGUCAUUUGAAACUGACAGACUAGAGUGCAGCAGAGGAUAGCGGAAUUCCCGGUGUAGUGGUGAAAUGCGUAGAUAUCGGGAGGAACACCAGUGGCGAAGGCGGUUACCUGGAGCUUUGCUGACGCUGAUGCGCGAAAGCGUGGGGAGCGAUCCGG